rnacentral:lncRNA from 1 species
CAUCGGCUAUCUUGCAGCGACCGGACGGCGUAAGAAACUAAAGCUCAUUAAGCGCAUUUUUGUUUUACUUAUUUUUGAUUAAAGGGUUUUGCCCAGCCCCAUUUUUUUUUUUUUGAUUGAAAGGGUUUUGCCCAGCCCCAUUUAUAUUUGCGCAUGUUUACACAUCAGGUUGCACUGACAAGCAUAUACUGUUUGUUCGCAAAUAAUAUACAGGUGACCUCGGGGAUGAAAGGAGCCACGACGACGGCCGUGCCAGCGCAAGUGCUAAUGCUCCUGCAUUACACUCGUCAUUAGGUGAGAGCAAGAUUAGCGUGAGAUUUUGUCUGGUUAGGGAUUGUAAGACCAAAGCUGAGACCUGGACUGAGGCAUGCUACUGCUGCCUUGUGCUGUCCGAUAUGCCAUGUUGGCAUAAGCUACACGAGUGUCAAGCAAACUGCCCGGCGUGCCACCCCAAGUGCUAGCUAGGGAGCCUCAAC